UCUUGGGCUGGGGAUGGCUUAGUGGUAGAGCGCUUGCCUGGCAAGCACAAGGCCCUGGGUUCGAUCCUCAGCUCAAAAA